rnacentral:lncRNA from 1 species
ACUUGGCUUUUGAAAAAGGUUAGAAAUAAAGGGAGACAUGAGGCUAAAAAAUCUACAUAAUAUUGGGUGAAGCAUACAACUUUUGGAAUCGACUCUUUAAGGAAAUAAACUUUUGCCCCAGUUUUAUUUCAUUUUGGGUAACUUAAAUUUUCUUCUGGUUAGACCGAACCCCAGAGUAGGGCUGCCUACGUAUCUUGUCAUAGCAAGAAACAGGUCAAACAUAGUUCAGACAUCUUAUUCUUUUCUUUUUACCUUUUUUUUGAAUUGAAC